rnacentral:rRNA from 1 species
AACACGUGGAUAACCUACCUAUAAGACUGGGAUAACUUCGGGAAACCGGAGCUAAUACCGGAUAAUAUUUUGAACCGCAUGGUUCAAAAGUGAAAGACGGUCUUGCUGUCACUUAUAGAUGGAUCCGCGCUGCAUUAGCUAGUUGGUAAGGUAACGGCUUACCAAGGCAACGAUGCAUAGCCGACCUGAGAGGGUGAUCGGCCACACUGGAACUGAGACACGGUCCAGACUCCUACGGGAGGCAGCAGUAGGGAAUCUUCCGCAAUGGGCGAAAGCCUGACGGAGCAACGCCGCGUGAGUGAUGAAGGUCUUCGGAUCGUAAAACUCUGUUAUUAGGGAAGAACAUAUGUGUAAGUAACUGUGCACAUCUUGACGGUACCUAAUCAGAAAGCCACGGCUAACUACGUGCCAGCAGCCGCGGUAAUACGUAGGUGGCAAGCGUUAUCCGGAAUUAUUGGGCGUAAAGCGCGCGUAGGCGGUUUUUUAAGUCUGAUGUGAAAGCCCACGGCUCAACCGUGGAGGGUCAUUGGAAACUGGAAAACUUGAGUGCAGAAGAGGAAAGUGGAAUUCCAUGUGUAGCGGUGAAAUGCGCAGAGAUAUGGAGGAACACCAGUGGCGAAGGCGACUUUCUGGUCUGUAACUGACGCUGAUGUGCGAAAGCGUGGGGAUCAAACAGGAUUAGAUACCCUGGUAGUCCACGCCGUAAACGAUGAGUGCUAAGUGUUAGGGGGUUUCCGCCCCUUAGUGCUGCAGCUAACGCAUUAAGCACUCCGCCUGGGGAGUACGACCGCAAGGUUGAAACUCAAAGGAAUUGACGGA